rnacentral:rRNA from 1 species
CCUACGGGAGGCAGCAGUGGGGAAUAUUGGGCAAUGGGCGCAAGCCUGACCCAGCAACGCCGCGUGAAGGAAGAAGGCUUUCGGGGUGUAAACCUCUUUUCGCAGGGAAGAAAAAAGUGACGGUACCUGACGAAUAAGCCGCGGCUAACUACGUGCCAGCAGCCGCGGUAAUACGUAGGGGGCAAGCGUUAUCCGGAUUUACUGGGUUUAAAGGGCGUGUAGGCGGGAGUGCAAGUCCGAAGUGAAAGCCCAGGGCUCAACCCUGGGCCUGCCUUUGAAACUGUGUGUCUUGAGUGCUGGAGAGGUAAGCGGAAUGCCGGGUGUAGCGGUGAAAUGCGUAGAUAUCAGGAGGAACACCAGUGGCGAAGGCGGAAUACUGGACAGUAACUGACGCUGAGGCGCGAAAGCGUGGGGAGCAAACAGGAUUAGAUACCCCUGUAGUC